UAUACACGUAAGUAGAAAAGGGCUCUAGCCCUGGUGCUCUGAUGCAUUGGUACGCCCUUUUCAGUCCGGCCAAGACCUAAGUAUAACUGGUCCUAUGAUCUCUUUCUAACCACAGCGCCAGCAUAGAAGUGAUUUGCUCGAAUGUGGCAUUUCUUCGUGGUUACCCUUGAUAACCAUCUCACUGGAAGUCAAAGCCCAUAAGAAAAAGGGGACGAUUUCAUGGGGAAGAAAGGCAGAAUUCACAUCAAGAGGCAUCACAUUUCAAAACAGCGAAGCUGCUGGUGGAGCACCUCUGCUUUACCUUCUCCCUGCCACAGAUUCACCCUCUCCUUGUCUGGAGGCUGCUCCUUGAGCUGCGUGGGCAGGCAGCAGCAAAGCUGCGCCUACUUCCCUGCCACCCCAUCUGUAGCUCGUCUGUGCCACCUGCAGCGCUAUGUUUGGAAGAGUUUUCAGAGAGCAUAUGUAAAGCCACACAAUUUCCUGUGCUGAUGAUACUUGUCUUUUCUAGAUCAGUAUCCAGCAAGUCAUCCCAAAUUUUGCAGAUGGAAGAAACGCACCUCCUGAUUUUUACAUUUUUUUAUAUCUCUGCCAGUAAGCUACCUUUCUGCUUCUCUAGUCAAGCGUUUCUUUUCCUGCGGGCGUUUUCUUGAGCUUCUUCAGACAGUUUUACUUUUGAAGCUCCGCAUCUUUCACAUUCCUGCAUUCGUGCUCCAUCGGAAACCUUGCCUCACCAACCAACAAAACAGCCAUGUAGCAGAAGUGGUAGGAGGCACCAGCAGCUACACCUCUAUAUCCCAGCAGAGACAGCAGCUGCCUGUCUUCAGUGACUUGUCCAGGCAGAAGAAGGACAGUUGCACCGGCACCUAGACCCGCCUUCCCUCCUCUACAAAAGGAGAAAGGAGAAAGCUGGAAGGCAGAAAAGGUCGAGAGCGACCGCGGCAAAAGCGAGGACUUGGCCCGGGUCAGGACUGCCGGGCUGGUGUGGCAGCAGCGGUCGCAGCCCUCGGGGCCGCAUGUGCAGCACGGCAGAGCAGCGUCUGCUCUUGGCAUCGCCAGGCGCUUCCUCAGGGACACUGAGCACGUUAAGCUGCAAGUACCUCAUCUGGGAAAGGGAGCAAAGCUAUUUUUAGUCCCCCCAAGAGUCUAAAACAGAGCUAGAUAAGAUUAACGGACAUUUGUGGAGAUUACCAAGAGUUAAAAGUAGAGGUCAAACUCCCACGGUGCUCAUUCUCUCUUUUAGCUUAGAGUGACUACAUUUUUGAGGUGAAGGAAGGGGAAACAAUGGGGACCAUUUUGUUUGUCUGAAAUCUUUGGGGAUUUAAAACCCCCAAACCUUUAAAUAAUGCUAUGAAGAGAUUACAGCUGAUGCCCAAUGUUUUAUUUUUCAAAAAAAGUCCUUUGUUCAAGGAGACUCCUGCAAAAAUGUGUUGUCUUAGACCAGGGUGCUUGAAAAUAUACCAUUUCAGAAUAA